UAGGGANUCUUCCACAAUGGGCGCAAGCCUGAUGGAGCAACACCGCGUGAGUGAAGAAGGGUUUCGGCUCGUAAAGCUCUGUUGUUAAAGAAGAACACGUAUGAGAGUAACUGUUCAUACGUUGACGGUAUUUAACCAGAAAGUCACGGCUAACUACGUGCCAGCAGCCGCGGUAAUACGUAGGUGGCAAGCGUUAUCCGGAUUUAUUGGGCGUAAAGAGAGUGCAGGCGGUUUUCUAAGUCUGAUGUGAAAGCCUUCGGCUUAACCGGAGAAGUGCAUCGGAAACUGGAUAACUUGAGUGCAGAAGAGGGUAGUGGAACUCCAUGUGUAGCGGUGGAAUGCGUAGAUAUAUGGAAGAACACCAGUGGCGAAGGCGGCUACCCGGUCUGCAACUGACGCUGAGACUCGAAAGCAUGGGUAGCGAACAGGAUUAGAUACCCUGGUAGUCCAUGCCGUAAACGAUGAGUGCUAGGUGUUGGAGGGUUUCCGCCCUUCAGUGCCGGAGCUAACGCAUUAAGCACUCCGCCUGGGGAGUACGACCGCAAGGUUG
rnacentral:rRNA from 1 species